rnacentral:lncRNA from 1 species
UGUCAGUCUUUAGCUGUGUGACAAGCUACUUAACCUUCUCUCAACUUUAAGUUUGUCAUCUAUAAGUGGGUUUGACAAUGGUAUCUACCUGUAAAUCUAUUGAAGAGACACUUUGAAUUAAGGAACAUAAAAUAUUUAGCAAAUAGAAAGAGCUUGAUUAUUGUUAUAUUGUGUGUGUGUGUGUGUGUGUGUGUGUGUGUGUGUGUGAGUGUGUGUGUGUGACUGUUAUUAUUCAAAUCUUCAGAUACCUAGAAUCACAGAGCAGAGUUUCUCUAUUAGAUUGCCCCAGCACAGGAGAGUGUCUAAAUGUACAAAUAGAUACACUGGCACGAUUAUCUGGUAGAUUCCAGUCUAUACCUGCUAUAUCCUGCAAACUUCAUCCAUUAGGGCAAAGGUUACAUAAAUUGGUUACCGACUCUAAUUUCCUUUCUUAACUAGUACAAAAAUAGCCUUUACAUUAGCCUCCGAAAAUAGCUAAGAGUUCAAUAUUUGAAUGUAUGUCUUAACUCCUUACCAUCACAGAAUAUUAGAAAAAAAAAAAAAAAGCAAGAAGCCAGCAUCCACAGAAAUCUCAUUAGUUCACAUUUCCUCAGUGCUUAUGGCAAUUUGUAGCAAUUCGAACUUGUCCAGGCUGCAUUAACUUUUAUGUCCGUGUUUUAUAGAUAUAAUUUACUAGAAGAAUUAAUGGUGCAAACGAGAUUGUAGGAAACACACUCAAAGUUUUAAUGACAGCAAAUAUUUUCAUAAAGAAAUGGUCGAUUUGAAAAUAAAGGUUAUAAUUUACCUAGAGUUGUGGUUCGGGGAGGAAAGAUCUUGCGAGAUGACUCCCAAGACUGUAUCCAAUAGAAAGACUCAUGGGCAGAAAAAUUCAGCGUGCGUGGGAGCCCUACCUUUCUCCAGAACUACACCCCACAAGUUCUACGUCAGGGACUCUUAGAGUGACCCAUAGGAAUGUGUGUGCUUUACAAGCUUGUCAGGAAAUCCUUAUGCUUGCUUACUAAAGUUUAGUGAGAGUUUCCAUUUCUCCAGUCCUGAGAACCCAGCCUGGAACUUUCUACUUGCUAGACAAGUAUUCUACUACUGCCCAUCACCCCCAGCCCCUAAAGCUUAAGAAUAGACACUCACUAAUCAGGGUAUGGUAAUGGAUUCCUAUAAUUCCAGCACUCAGGAGGUGGAGGCAGGAAGACUAUUGUGAGUUUAAGACCAGCCUGAGUACCUCGGGAGUAGUAAGACUGCCAGGGCUACAUAGUAAGACCAAAUCUUUACC